GACGAACGCUGGCGGCGUGCUUAACACAUGCAAGUCGAACGGGAACCUUUAUUUCGGUAAAGGUGAGAGUGGCAAACGGGUGAGUAACACGUAGGCAACCUGCCGACAGGAUGGGGACAACAUUCCGAAAGGAAUGCUAAUACCGAAUGGAGUCCGAGGAUGGCAUCAUCCUUGGAUAAAAGAUGGCCUCUUAACAAUGCUAUCGCCUGUCGAUGGGCCUGCGUCUGAUUAGCCAGUUGGCGGGGUAACGGCCCACCAAAGCGACGAUCAGUAGCCGGUCUGAGAGGAUGAACGGCCACAUUGGGACUGAGACACGGCCCAGACUCCUACGGGAGGCAGCAGUGGGGAAUCUUCCACAAUGGGCGAAAGCCUGAUGGAGCAACGCCGCGUGAGUGAAGAAGGUCUUCGGAUCGUAAAGCUCUGUUGCACGGGACGAAAA
rnacentral:rRNA from 1 species